GCAGAGAACUUAGGGGGGGGCUAAACUGGAAUUAACUAUUCCAGUCUAGAGACACUAAACUGACUCUAACUCCUUGCUGACACAUAGCUGCCACCUGCUGGUGAACAUAGAAAUUACAGCAAUAUACAUGUAACAAGGCUUCCAAUGCACAUUUGUAAGGAUGUUAUGUGAAAUCACAUGUGAUGACAAUGUAAAUACUCUUAACAGGUUGUAG